UGACAGGGGUGGAGGUGACGUCUGUAGUAGUUUCUGUGACUGGGGUGGAGGUGACGUCUGUAGUUGUUUCUGUGACAGGGGUGGAGGUGACGUCUGUAGUUGUUUCUGUGACAGGGGUGGAGGUGACGUCUGUAGUUGUUUCUGUGACAGGGGUGGAGGUGACGUCUGUAGUUGUUUCUGUGACAGGGGUGGAGGUGACCUCUGUAGUAGUUUCUG